rnacentral:rRNA from 1 species
GGGUCUUGGGAUACUUGGGGUUAAGCGUCCUUGGGUUUGAAUAGUACUAGGCUGGGUGACCUCCCGGGAAGUCCAAAUUCAGGAGCUU